UAGUAUUUUGACUAUACAAAGGUAUUGUAAUAAGACUUUAAUUGAGUGCUAAAAGAAUGGAAUUACAAAAAAAGGCUUUUUUUAUUUUAAAAAUUAAAAUUAUUUUUUUUUGUGAAGAAACAAAAAUUUAAAUUAAAGACAAGAAGACCCUAAGAAUUUUUUUUUUUAUUAAAAUAAUAUUUUAUUUUAAAAAUUUAAUUGGGGCGAUUAAUUAAUAUUAAAAACUUUAUUAAUAAAAAAAAUGAUCCAUUAUUAAUGAUUAUUUGAUUAAAAUACUCUAGGGAUAACAGCGUAAUAAUUUUUGAUAGUUCUUAUAGAAAAAAUAGUUUGCGACCUCGAUGUUGGAUUAGGAUUCUUUUUUAAUGAAGAAGUUAAAAAAAGAAGUUUGUUCAACUUUUAAAUUCCU
rnacentral:rRNA from 1 species